GGGGCCUGGCGGGGCGGGGCGGGGCCGGAGCGCGGCGGCCGUUGGGACCGGUAGGGGGAGUCUGGCAGCGCCUGUCCGGUGUCGUGCGCCUCGGGAACUGAGGACUCCUGGAAGGAAAGGAGAAACGCAGGAUCUGAUGGUUUUAGUGAGAAAGUGCUUGGUGAGAUGCAGGAUGAGGGUUUGUGUUCUGGUCCUGUGCCAGGAACAAUGCAAGCAAUGGCAGUCAGAUGGUGGCAGUAGUGAGUAGUUCUCCUGCAAACACCUAAUUCGCUUGGCUGACUGCAAGGGACUGUAGAAGGAUGAGCUCAGAUGUCACAUUUUUGACCUCUACAAUGGGAUAGAGCGAUCUCAUUCCUAAAGUCAUGCUGAAGGCAGCAAGAACAAGUUUGAAGCUGAGCUGAACCCCUAUUAUACAUGCAGCUGGACAUGACCAAAUGGCAAAAGUAUUCCAGAAGUGUUAAAUGUAUGCAAGUUUUAUGACUAUCAGUGCCUGGGACAGAAAAGAGACCUUAUCCAUUCCCUCCCUGGAGAAGUCAGCACUGGCUGAAUUCUGCUGAGAAGCAGCAGCAACUUGCUGGCAAGUCAACUUCUGUGCAGCUAUAAUUCUGCUGUGAUGCCUGUAACCUCCUCAAGUCACAAGGAUGGGAAUGGCUGGAGUGACAGCUCAGAGGUGCUCCUAGAAGGACACUCCUGGGUACCUGGCAGUAUUUCAGAGAUGGGAGAGAGACACAGCCCAGGGAAGAGAAGCAGCUGAGGUUAUUGGACUCUUGACUCAACCUCAAAGUGAUUGAAUUUUGAGGUGAUGUUAUAGGGAGUUUCUCAGCGGUGUCUGAAGAAACAUGGUGGAAAAGAAAUGCAAAGCAAGUGCUAGAGAAGGGGUCAUGACCAUCUCUGUUAUUACCUGGCAAGUGUUUUAUAGGUAAUUCCUGUUAUGGAGAACAAAAUGCACCACAAAAACAGGGGUAGGUUCACAUCUGACCAGUUAUCUUAUGAAAACCUUGCAAGUGCAUACAAUACCUCAAAAGGAGACUGUAAAUUUGACCGUACGUUAAGCUGUGGGAAGUCUGAGUUUUUUCAGUGUCACUGUCGGGAGACUUUUACCUAUCAAACAAUCAAAGUAUGCUCAGAUCAAGGCUGAAGCCCAGCCUGUUCCUUGGCCUCCUGACCACCCAUCUGCUCCACUGUAAGGUGUGGUCCUGAGCAGUGCCUGCGUGUUUCUGUGUUGGAGGGAGAACGUAAUGCAUACAUGUAACAUGUAUAUAGCAUGAUUACCUAUUUACCUGUAUUUGCAAUGAUGUUUGGAAAGAAGCCUUAAAAUAAAACUAUGAUUAUAGACCCAAUGUCAUAAGUUCAUAUUUCUGCUG